UUCGUGGUCGGUGGUACAGGUGGUGCAUGGCUGUCGUCAGCUCGUGUCGUGAGAUGUUGGGUUAAGUCCCGCAACGAGCGCAACCCUUGUCCCGUGUUGCCAGCAGGCCCUUGUGGUGCUGGGGACUCACGGGAGACCGCCGGGGUCAACUCGGAGGAAGGUGGGGACGACGUCAAGUCAUCAUGCCCCUUAUGUCUUGGACUGCACACGUGCUACAAUGGCCGGUACAAUGAGCUGCGAUACCGCGAGGUGGAGCGAAUCUCAAAAAGCCGGUCUCAGUUCGGAUU
rnacentral:ncRNA from 1 species